rnacentral:rRNA from 1 species
UACGAAGGGGGCUAGCGUUGCUCGGAAUCACUGGGCGUAAAGGGUGCGUAGGCGGGUCUUUAAGUCAGGGGUGAAAUCCUGGAGCUCAACUCCAGAACUGCCUUUGAUACUGAGGAUCUUGAGUUCGGGAGAGGUGAGUGGAACUGCGAGUGUAGAGGUGAAAUUCGUAGAUAUUCGCAAGAACACCAGUGGCGAAGGCGGCUCACUGGCCCGGUACUGACGCUG